rnacentral:rRNA from 1 species
AUUGAACGCUGGCGGAAUGCUUUACACAUGCAAGUCGAGCGGCAGCGCGGGGCAACCUGGCGGCGAGCGGCGAACGGGUGAGUAAUGCAUCGGAACAUGUCCAUGUCGUGGGGGAUAGCCCGGCGAAAGCCGGAUUAAUACCGCAUACGCUCGAGAGAGGAAAGCCGGGGACCGCAAGGCCUGGCGCGAUUGGGUUGGCCGAUGUCCGAUUAGCUAGUUGGUGAGGUAAAGGCUUACCAAGGCGAUGAUCGGUAGCUGGUCUGAGAGGAUGAUCAGCCAACCUGGGACUGAGACACGGCCCGGACUCCUACGGGAGGCAGCAGUGGGGAAUUUUGGACAAUGGGGGCAACCCUGAUCCAGCCAUUCCGCGUGAGUGAAGAAGGCCUUCGGGUUGUAAAGCUCUUUUGUCCGGAGCGAAACGGGCGCGGCUAAUACCUGCGUCUACUGACGGUACCGGAAGAAUAAGCACCGGCUAACUACGUGCCAGCCGCCGCCGUAAGAC